AGGCCCCAGCUGCCUCUAGGUGGACACUUAUUCCCCUGUGAGUGGCUGGCUCCUUCUGUUGCCCAGGCGGUUAAAUGAUUUGGAUCAUGUGACAGGAAGGCAGCGCAGGCCAGGCCAUGGGCUCUGGACACGCCAGCGAGGAUGGGCCGGGCGUGCCAGGUGGGACAAAAGCCUGCGAAGCUGCAGCUGGACUGAGGAAGCAGCUGCCGGCAGAAGAGGAGAGGAGGAGGGAAUGGGAGCCCCCCACCACCACUACCAAGACCAGAGAAGGGCAUGAGAUGGUUUGAGCUUGGGCCUUGCUGUGUUCAUGCCCCUCACGCCCUCCCUUCAUACCUGCAACCAAGAGAACAAGACAGGCAAACCUUAGGUCCUGGUGCAGACGUGACCCUGCUGUUGCCCGUGUGAACCUGACAGGAGGGGAUGUUCUUAACAAGACCAAUGCAACAAAGACCGAAAAGCCCUGCCUCUGCCUCCCCUGGGCUGUGGAGAUGACAUAACCUCGGGUUGGGAUAGUCUGGCUCUAAGCCCCAGGUGAACACAGUCUAGUGAGGCACCUGUAUUCCCCAGGUAAGCACUGUACUGGGGGUUGUCACUAACAACCUCACCAAUUUCUUGGCUUAUAGACAAUAUGGAAACCCAUUGUCAGCAUGUGCCUUCAAUUUGCAUCCACGCUUUGCCCAUUGUCAGGU
rnacentral:lncRNA from 1 species